rnacentral:rRNA from 1 species
UCAGGCCUAACACAUGCAAGUCGAGCGGGGUUUUCGGACCUAGCGGCGGACGGGUGAGUAAUGCGUAGGAAGCUACCCGAUAGAGGGGGAUACCAGUUGGAAACGACUGUUAAUACCGCAUAAUGUCUACGGACCAAAGUGUGGGACCUUCGGGCCACAUGCUAUCGGAUGCGCCUACGUGGGAUUAGCUAGUUGGUGAGGUAAUGGCUCACCAAGGCGACGAUCUCUAGCUGGUUUGAGAGGAUGAUCAGCCACACUGGAACUGAGACACGGUCCAGACUCCUACGGGAGGCAGCAGUGGGGAAUAUUGGACAAUGGGCGCAAGCCUGAUCCAAAGAAGGCCGCGUGUGUGAAGAA